rnacentral:rRNA from 1 species
GACGAACGCUGGCGGCGUGCUUAACACAUGCAAGUCGAGCGGUAAGGCCCUUUCGGGGGUACACGAGCGGCGAACGGGUGAGUAACACGUGGGUGACCUGCCCUCAGCUCUGGGAUAAGCCUGGGAAACCGGGUCUAAUACCGGAUAUGACUCCAUGACGCAUGUUGUGGGGUGGAAAGCCUUGUGCGGCUGAGGAUGGGCCCGCGGCCUAUCAGCUUGUUGGUGGGGUGAUGGCCUACCAAGGCGACGACGGGUAGCCGGCCUGAGAGGACGACCAGCCACACUGGGACUGAGACACGGCCCAGACUCCUACGGGAGGCAGCAGUGGGGAAUAUUGGACAAUGGGCGCAAGCCUGAUCCAGCGAUGCCGCGUGUGUGAAGAAGGCCUGC